CGCCGUGUUUCUGAGUAUUCUACUGACCAUUCACAGAUGCCGAGUAAGGAUUCUUGAACAUGAUGAAAAAGAGGUGAUGCUCAAGAAUCCAGAUGUGUAAACACCACAAGGAACAGCUUUGAUAGAAAACCACACAACUCCAGAGGGGCAAGAACUUCGGAUCAAGUAAGAUCAGGAAGUGGAGCUUCUGAAAUAUCUGGAGGAAGCAGGGGAGCAGCUGAAGAAGCUACACAUUUCAAUGACAGGAAAACAGGCUUUGAGAAAGAGUUUCUGUGAAUGCAGUGACUGUCAUUGUCAAUAUCCCUGAACAAAGCACCUGUGCCUAAACAGUCUUCAGCAUGGCUUUAGUCUCUCUGUAUGUAUUUCUAAAUGGCAAUAACUCAACUCAGUUCAUCUGUGCAAAUUGGUUGUUACAUUGCUUACUGUGUUAGAUGACCUGUAGUAUCUGAAGUUUCAUGUGAUGAGGUCAUGUAAUCACUUUUAUUGCAUUAUAGAGAGUGGAUAUCAUCAAUAUUUUCAUCUGAGACAUGCAGUUCUGACCAUGAGCACAAAAGGUCCCCUUACCAUUCAAAUCUUCUGUUUAUGAGGGAAACCAGUCAGUCAGACAAAAGUUGGCUUAUAGGGAGAGAAGCCAAGAAAAGACAGAAGAUGAACUGAAAAGUCAAACUGAGGCUUAAAAACAAAGAUAAAUAAGUAUUAUUUUGAACUGUGAACCAUCCGAAGCUGCUUUGGAGUCCAAGAAUAAAACAUAUUGUCUUGGAAACAAGGAGAAUAUGCUCCAUUUCCCAUUCCAGUGCAUUAUUGUAACUUUGUAACUACUUUUCUGGUUGUAGACGCACCAUUUCAGGAAAAACAGCUACUUUGGGUCUCACCCAAAGUCACAGACUAACAAUCCUAGUGUAGCUAAUUUGCUUUAAAAUGGCCAAUCAGGAGCGAUGAGCCUCAGGAUUGGACCAUGUCCAUGGGCAUAAUAUAGGAAGUAAAAUUAAAAUCACUGUAGAAACCUCAAAAGACCCAAAAUGUUUUAACUUCAUCUAGGCAACCAAAGAAGGGCUUCUUACCUCUAACCUACAGUUGAUGACUGUCACUUUCAUCAGCUGUUAAUUUUGCACUGAGUCUAAUAAUCUGUGAUAGCUACAAUGCUAAAUCAGAAGCAGCACUUUUCUGUGAGGCACCAUUCAUAAAGGUCUUGAAUUAGAAAGAGAUUUUAUAAUGAAUUUAAGUGCCAUGCAUGGCAGAGUCGAUCAGAUUAAUAAGAGCUAAACAACAUAGUUUUAAGGUCUAAACAGGCUAUAUUUAUAUACAGUCCAAAUCAAGAAAACUUUAUUUGCAAAUGAGGCAGCACAUCUGUACAAUAUAUAAUCUGUAGAUAAAUAAUAAGUUAACAGCUUUAUUUAUUUUGGUUCUCUUUGUAUUGACCUAUUCUUAAUUGUUGUGACAGUCUUCCUUUUUAACUGUAUGCACCUCUGUUUCUCUCCUUUGAUAUCAAAUUAAUGUAUUUCUAUUGAAAAAUAAUACUUGUUAAUACAAUCUUUGUAAAUAAUACAUUCUUUCUCAUUUUUCUUAAAUAUAAGCCUAUUUAUUUACUGUGCAUGUAUCUUGUAACUCCAGCAGGUGCAGCUAUGUUACAGCUGUGCUACUUAGUGGUGCAAUGAGCAGCUCAGCUUCAACUGAAACUGCUCUCUUAUUUUAUUCUGAGAGAGGACGAGUUGCAACAUGUCUCUUGUCAUCUUGUUAUUCCAGUUUCGUUUUUUCUUGGAAUAAAUACAGUUUGGUCUACCACAUGCUAA